rnacentral:lncRNA from 1 species
AUUUGGAGCCCCUCCACCUUAUCCAUCGCUAAUAAUGAUGAGAUCUUCUUUCUUCAAUCUUUAAUUUUAGCUCCUUUUGUUGUGGGUGAUGAAUUAUCUUCACAUUUUUUUGUGGUCUUUCUUCUUGCUCAGUUUGCAGAAGUACGGACAUUCCCUUCUUAAUUAUUUCUUUUAUUUUUUUAUUUUGUCACUAACUUUAUCCCUUGCAGAUGUGUGUUUCGGUGGAUGUCCUUGAGUUUUAAAGUAACUCAUAGGAGAAUUAGAACAUUGUAUCUCUGCUUUGUAGAUCUGUGUAAGUAACUUGGAACUUUCCACUUGCACUUAUUUCAUCCUCUUUACUGAUUGAUGACUCUUUUAUAGCUGAAGCAGAAGAGGAGAAAAACAAGUUGCUCCCAGCGUCCAUCUUUCAGAUCUCCUAGCUAUGAACAAGUGUUGUAUUACUAAAUCUGUUCCCCUGCUCUCGAUUUUUGUUGGUGAUCCUUUUUGUUGGCUGAUGUAGCUCAGUCUAGUUAGCAAUCUCAUAGUUAUUUUGCCCUUGAGGCGACCACAAACUAUAUUGUACAAGUAAUCACUAUGAGACUCUGUGGUUUUUCUUAAUCCCCUCCCUAUGCUUAGUUAUGCGUGCUACUUAUCUUCCUUAUUUUUACCCUUAUUGAUGGAAUUUGAUGUUUGUCUAUGUUUAUGAUCUUCUUUCCUUUGCUUGGUAGCUGAUUGAACUCAUAGUUUUGAAUCUUUUGUUCUUGUUCAAUAGCUAUAUUUUUCA